AUGGCUUCUGUACAUUCUCUACUCUGGUUGGUAGCAGUUAGGAUUCGGAAUUUCGGAUCCCUUUCCAAUGGGCAAAACCCUAACUGGAUUAAUUAGAAUCAGAAUCAGGAGGACCCCUCCACUACCACCGGUGGCAGAUGAGGAUUAAUGGAGGAGGAGAGAGUAAACCAUAUUCCUCAAGUCCUCUGUACUCAGUCCUCACCAUCUUUCUUUAUUAUUACGGUUUUUAGGGUUAUGGUUCUGAAAGUGCCUUAUUACCUGUCUUAGAAAAGGGUUUCAAAGUCCAAAUUAAUGAGGCGAAAAAAGGGGUUGUGGAUGUCGAUGAGGUUUUGACCCUCCCCAGGUUGGAACUUUGCCACUGAUCAAUGGUUUUUAAGUCUCUCAAUUCAAUCCCAAUUGAACUGAAGUUUUGUAAUUACUUAAAUCAAAGCACUUUACUGAACAAAGAAAAGAAGUAAAGGAGUCAAGCAAUACUCAUUAAACAAACCCAGAUUUCAACCAUCAAGUCCAAAACCUGUUGGUCACUGCCACCUUAUUCUUACCUUCCCACUUCUGUAUAGUGUAUUCUACUUUGAGCUCUCUCUCUCUCUCUCUCUCUCUCUCUGAAAGGCACAGACCCACAUCCACAAAAUCUGCGCUUAGUCCCCCGUUCUUUAUCCCAUAGUGUCUGCUUGCGUUUCUGUGGCUAUUUUCUUAAAACUGUCAAAACAUAAAUUUCCUUUCUUCCUUCCCAGCUCUAAUUGUGUUUAAUAGCAGAUUUUUUUGGGGGGUAAGAAUCGUCUUUAGUAAUUCAUGGCAGGAGAAACGGUUCUCUCAUGCAUGGCAAUUUUAAAGCUCAGCGAGUUUCAGAGUUUAUUCUUAAUUAACAAACUGAUGGGUUCUUCUAUGCAGACCCUUUUAUGGGCUUUCCCUUUACUGAAUUCUCAUUGCUUUCCUCAUACGAUUUGUGGGUCUUCUCUAGCCUAGUCUAACUUCUUGUUCUUACUUGAAGAUUACCCAUCAGUGGUUUGUUCUAUAAUUUAUUAAUAUUUUUGUUUCUAGAGUUUUUUUUUUUUUUCUGUUAUUAUUAUUCUUUGAAGAGAGUAAGUUAGAGAUUGUGGGAUUCCAGUUUUCGGGGGUGAAGAGAGAUGGGGGUGCAAGUGAUUCUAGUGAUGAUGAAGCUCUGCAUCUUUUUCUUCACUUUGUGUGUUAUUGGAUCUGCAGGGUACAAUAUUUCCCCAUCACCGGCAAUUUUUUCUGCACUUCCUCCAACUGAAGAGAGAGAGCCUCAUCUUAGCUAUCCUGGAAAGUCACUGAGGACUGGCACACCAAGUCCAUCUCCUCUGCAUUAUGGUUCAGUAUUACAUCCUCCAAUGACACUGGCUCCCCAAGAUUCUGUAUCUGUAUCUCCAGCUGUCCAAGGGUUAGUGCCAUCCUUGCCUCCAAGUCCUUCGACAGUAUUGCCACCACAUGAAUCAGCACCUUUGCCUGCACCCGACCAAGGGACCUCACAAUCAAUUCUACCGAGGUCACCUCAUAGAAGGCAUCAAGAUGUGCCAGUCGCAUCACCUCCAGGGAAAAUUCUGUGGAAGUCACCAUCCUUCCAGCCAACUUUCCCAGGAAGAACUCCAAAUUUGCUGCCAGACAAUGCUGCCCCACCAAAAGUAGCCCCUUCCCCAGGCAGUAGGAAAGGAUAUGGAGUGCCGCUUGCUGCUCCUUCAAAGGACUCAUUCAACCAUUUGUCGCCAGUCAAAGGUUCAUUUCCUGUUGUAGCCCCUGCACCACACAGCAAAGCUGUGAGGCCAUCUGCUAGAACACCUACCCCUUCCAAGUCAUCUCUGCAGCCCCCUACCAGGAAGUGGUUUCAGAUUCCCGCAUCUUCACCUUCAAUCUCAUUACAUAGGCAUCAUCAUGCCAAGAAAAGAACUCACGCUACUGUUCCUGCCCCAUCAUAUCUGCCACCUCCUCCUACUUCUUACUGGCUAGGUCCAGUUAUUCCUCAAGCUCCUUCGAGUGUUCCUGUGGUUCCCCCAAAGAUGAGUAAACAAAGGCAUCAUAGUCCACCAUCGUUUGCUCCAGUUCCUUCUGGCUCAGCAGUCAAAUCUCCAUUUCAUUCAACAGUGGAAUCAGGCUCUCCUGGACCAGUGCCAUCACCAACAGUUCCAUCUGGUCGAACUGAAAGGUCUCUUCUGCCCCCUAAAGUUUCUCCUUUGGGUCCUUCCCCAAGAAAGCCAUUGAUACCAAUUCAUUCUCCAGUUCAGUCACUACCUCCUCCGCCUCCAAACCAAGAUUGUACAUCAGUGACAUGCACUGAGCCAUUAACAAAUACCCCUCCAGGAUCCCCGUGUGGGUGUGUUUGGCCAAUACAAGUUGGACUGCGCCUUAGUGUUGCCUUGUACACCUUCUUUCCUUUGGUUUCGGAGUUGGCUCAAGAACUAGCAUCUGGGGUUUUCAUGAAACAAAGUCAAGUACGCAUAAUGGGAGCAAAUGCAGCUGACCAGCAGCCAGAGAAGACCAUUGUCCUCAUUGAUCUAGUACCACUUGGGGAAAAAUUUGAUAAUACCACAGCAUAUUUGACUUUUGAGAAGUUCUGGCAUAAGCAGGUUGCCAUAAAGACUUCCUUCUUUGGUGACUACGAAGUGUUAUAUGUACGCUAUCCAGGUCUUCCUCCCUCUCCACCUUCAGCAUCCUCAAGCAUUGGCACUAUGGAUGCUGGGCCGUACUCUGGUCGUGACAAUAAUGGAAGGACAAUAAAGCCUUUGGGAGUUGAUGUGAGUAGGAGACAUAAAGGAGGACUUGGUGGCAGCACGAUUGCUAUUAUAGUCCUUUCAUCUUUCAUAGUCAUGGUUUUAUGUAUUGUGACUGCUUGGCUGCUGUUGUUGAAAUGUUGUCACCACACUAGUCAACUGGCACCAACUCUUCCGACUUUACCUUCCUUUGCAAGACCACCAGGGGCCCCUGGAUCAAUGUUGUUUGGAAGCGGACCCAGUUCAGCAUCACUUUCCUUUGGAUCUAGCAUUGCAACAUAUACAGGAUCUGCCAAGUCUUUUAGUGCAGCUGAAAUAGAGAGAGCCACUGACAACUUUGAUCCUUCACGAAUAAUUGGAGAAGGGGGCUUUGGGCGUGUCUACAGGGGUAUCUUUGAUGACGGGACCAAUGUAGCUGUAAAAGUUCUCAAAAGAGAUGAUCAGCAGGGUGGGCGGGAGUUCUUGGCGGAGGUUGAGAUGCUUAGCCGUCUGCAUCACAGGAACUUGGUCAAACUAAUUGGUAUAUGCACAGAAGAUAAUAUCCGCUGCCUGGUUUAUGAACUCAUUCCAAACGGCAGUGUGGAGUCCCAUUUACAUGGUAGUAUUGAAUUGUGGUCUUGCUGUUUUCAUUUUUUUCUUGUGAAAUAUAUUUUUUUGAUGGUAUUGAGUUUUUGUAGUCCUAUGCGGAACUGGUUUUUGAACUGUUCCCUUAUUCUAUCAGGUGUGGACAAAGAAGCAGCUCCACUUGAUUGGGUUGCUCGUAUGAAGAUUGCUCUUGGCGCAGCCAGAGGUCUAGCCUAUCUGCAUGAAGACUCAAGUCCCCGUGUUAUUCAUCGGGAUUUCAAGUCCAGCAACAUCUUGUUGGAACAUGAUUUUACCCCUAAAGUGUCUGAUUUCGGAUUGGCUAAAACAGCUAUGGAUGAGGGCAACAAACACAUUUCAACACGUGUUAUGGGCACUUUCGGUUAUGUAGCUCCAGAGUAUGCAAUGACUGGACAUCUUCUUGUAAAGAGUGACGUAUACAGUUAUGGUGUAGUGCUUCUAGAGCUCUUAACAGGAAGAAAACCAGUGGAUAUGUCACAGCCACAAGGUCAAGAGAAUCUGGUAUCUUGGGCUCGUCCGCUCCUCACAAGUAAGGAGGGCUUAGAAAUGCUUAUUGAUCCUGCUCUAGGGUCUAGCGUCCCCUUUGAUAGUGUGGCCAAGGUAGCUGCAAUUGCUUCCAUGUGCGUGCAACCAGAAGUCUCACACCGUCCUUUUAUGGGUGAGGUGGUACAGGCCUUGAAGCUGGUCUGCAACGAGUGCGAUGAGACCAAAGAAAUGGGAUCAGAAAGUUGUAGCCAAGAGGAUUUGUCCAUUGUUAUGGAUACUAGAAUCAGGAUUGGCUAUGGUCAGCUUCCGGAGCCUUCACAAAACCGAUACCCCAUUUCAGACCAUGAUUCCAUCUUGGAAGCUCGAACAGCACUAUCAGCUUCAGAUAUGUUCAGUACAUCAGCAGGAAUUGGGAGGCAGUAUUCAGGAUCGUUUAGGAGGUACUCAAGUUCAGGACCUCUGAGGACAGGGAGGAGUAGGAAGUUCUGGCAAAGAUUAAGAGGAUUAUCUAGAGGCAGUGUGAGUGAGCAUGGAGUUGCAUUCAGGUUAUGGACAGGAUCCCAUUGAGGUUUUUGGAGACCCACUUGAUGUUCACGAUUUUGUGAUGUGAUGCAGCUUAAGGUCCAGGCUGAUCCAUAUGGCAAUUACAUUAAAGGUCCAAGAUGCAUGACUGGGUCAUGAGUUGUAAAGAUCAUCCUGCAUAGCCAUUGCUGCUGCACGAAACUAAAAAGUGCGUCAGUUGUGAUAACAGAAUCUCCCCAUCCUCUCCUUCCCAGGACCUGACAAAUGCAAUCUUCGUGUGCGGUUCAUGGUGUGGUGUAGAUCUGGGGGAAAACCUUCCCUUAUCUUGAUUCAUGUGGGAGAGCAACUCUAUUGGCAGCCCUGAUGGCAUCGUGGUUUCAAAACUGGGAGAGCAGAAAUAUUUCCAUGGACCACCCAAUCCUUCAUCAAGAGUGGAGAGUGCAGAACAAUUAUAGGCUGUCUUCACCAUUGAAAAUUUCUUCACUUAGGCCAAGCAAGAUUUGGAUUCAGUUCGCAUCAUCGGUGCCCUUUUGGGUGACAAUGGCUACUAUUAAUUGAGUGGGAUCCUAUUGCAGUGCUUGCGGAAAUGGCAGGGUAAGAAGAAAGAACCAGACUUGGUUCCAAUCCACAACAUUCCACUGAAAUUUUUUCAGUUGAAUGUGGUAGAGAAAGUUGCAGAGCCUCUGGCAAGCUUGGCAGGUGAGUAUCAGGAUUUGAUUGAUGUUUCCAUUGUAGGAUUCCCCCCACGAUCUUUAGUCUAUGGGUGAAAGUUCUGAUUAUCAUCAAGAUGCCAUUGUUUGAAAGUGUUGGUGGAAACUCAAUCCCACAGCGGAAAAGAAUGGAUUGAAAUUUCUUACGUUCAAAAUCAUUGUAUGAAAAAAAAAUAUUAGGAACAAAAUGGUUUAUAAAAAUUUCUCUAUUUUUGGCUUUUUA